AAAGCCAUUGCUAAAUCAUUCCCUCGGGUGGAAUGCAUUGUGUUUGAUCUACCACAUGUUGUUUCUGGCUUGAAAGGAAGUGAGAACCUUAAAUAUGUUGCAGGGGACAUGUUUGAGGCAAUUCCUCCAGCUGAUGCCAUUUUGUUAAAGGUAAAUCACUAUUCACAUUCAGAAUACAAUUUUACAUUCAUACCAUUAACACCCAGUUUUUAUACUUGAGUGAUGUCAAAUUUUAAAGAAUUAAAGCAAAUAAUUGAUCGAUUGGAAAAAAAAAUGAACGAUUUUAUGAUCAUUGAUCACUUGAAAUAACUUCAAAUAUAUAUAUGUAUAUUGUUCACUAAGCUAGUAAGCUAGCACCAGCUAGUAGUCCAACUACAUAUCUGCCACUAUCAUACCAAAUCAGACCAACUAAGUGGUCUAUAUGGCUUGUAAUAAUUAGUACUAGUUUACUAAGUGGGUACGUAAAGUAACUAGCAUAUGAUUAUUUGAAAAGUAAAUCUCUGCUCAUAUUCUAGAAAAAAUAGUUAUAGAUCUCUUCAAAUUUGACUUUUCUUUUUUCUGAAGUAUUGACUAUAUGUUGCGGUUAAAAACAUUACAUGAUGUGCCAAUUCAUUCUACCAAGCUUAAUAUGAAUGCAAGUCAAUAUUUUAUGAUUCUGAUCGGUGUGUUACUUUGAAUGACAAAGCAGUGGAUAUUGCAUGACUGGAAUGAUGAGGAGUGUGUGGACAUAUUGAAGAAAUGCAAAGAGGCCAUAACGAGGAAAGGCAAAGAAGGGAAGGUGAUCAUCAUAGACAUGGUGGUGGAGAAUGAGAAGAGAGAUGAUGAAUCAGUUGAAACACAGCUCUUCUUUGAUAUGCUGAUGAUGGUGUUGGUCACUGGAAAAGAGAGAAGCAAGAAAGAAUGGGCUAAGUUGAUUUCCUCUGCUGGUUAUAACAACUACAAGAUAACUCCAGUCUUGGGCUUAAGGUCUCUCAUUGAGAUCUAUCCAUAGUAAGUUAAUGAGAUGUGCCAGCACUCUAUCAUUCAUAUAUGUUAGGGCUAUAAUUUUUCUGUUUCGAUUCAUGAGUGAAUGUUGGAUAAGUAACAAUAGCAAUAGACUGAACUCUCUUCAUCAUAGUUGUGUUGUUGGAACAGUACUGUCAAGAAAGGAAAAAAAAAAAAUCUGAGGAUAAGUAUAGUUUGCGUGGUAUAUAUAGCAGGUGAAGAAAAAAAGGAACAUGUGGUUAAAGAGCACAGUGAGUUUGGCAAUUACUUUUUUUUUUGGUAACUGAAUUUGCCUUGUAUUAGAUUUGUGAAGAACUAAGUUUGUGAGAGUUGUUAUUGAAUAAGAUUGUUUCUAAAGGUUUGAUAAAGGUAUAAUGGUUUAUCUAAAUACAUUUCAAUAUUUUAGUAUUUUAAUUAAGUUCAUAAUGAUGUGAUUAUGUGUCAUGUCAAUAAAGAUAUAUCAUUAAUCUCAUCUUAAUAAUAGUGUCAUGCAAACAAUGAAAUUAAUGAGACUAAAAUAAAAUAAAAAGAAUUUUAUGGAGACAUAAAAUAGAUAAAAUAAAUAUUACAGAAACUAAAAAUGAAAAGAAAUUAUAAGAAUAAAAAAAAAAGAAUUUGCUUAUAUCUUCAAAGGUCACUUUAAGUUGUUUAUAUUUUUUAUUUUAAAUAUUGGGUUGCACCAAAGAAAUGAUCAUUAUAUUCAUGUUAAGAAUAAAUAAAGCAAAACAUAAUGACCAAAAAAUAUAGCAAAUUAAAUCCUAUAAUUUUUCUUUUGGAUGAAGUAUGAAUAUAAAAAGUAAGAGACAACAAAGUUUAAGACAUCACGAAAGAAUUUUUCAUAAAUUUCUCUAUAAUGACUUUAGGAUAAAAAUCUCAUCUUUGACUUCAAAACACUUGAACACAUAUCCUAAUUAGCUAAAGUAUCAAUCACAUGAUUAGAAUCAUGUGACAUAAUUGCAACUAACAAAGUUCAAAUGUUUCUUACUAAUGCUAUUAAAUAAAAUAAGAUUAAUUGAAAUUUAUUUGUAUUUGAAGUCAAGACUGUUAACUCGUUGACAAGUGUACCAAAUUUGUCACAAGUAAUAAAGUACUCGGAAGUCCGAGUGUCGAAUCCACUGGGAUUUUGUGUUGUACUUAUCUUGGAUACUUUUCAAUUUAUAAGGAAUUAAAAGAAAAAGUAGAAGGCAAUAAUAGUAAAUUAUAAAUAGAAAGCAAAAGAAUUAAAAGCAAAAUAAUUAAAGAGAGAAUUCAAUGGAAUGCGAAUGUUAGGACCUAGCAUGCCUUGUUUGCCUAGGAUGUAUGAAUUUAUGAUUUUUCUUCACCAAUUUAGGUGAUUCUAUUCUACCCACAUCUGUUCAUUUACUUGCCCCUGAUUCCUCACGAUGACAAGUCUAUUUUAUUCAUUUAUCUCCCAAAUUCCUUUGUAAAAACUCAACAAAUAAAAUGCAUGAAGUAUGAAUUCUAGAUGUUUGCAAGAAUGCAUGGGCAUAAAAUUAUCAUUCUAUUCCUAGCAAUGACUUUCUUAUGAAAUCCUUUCUUUUUGUUCUAUUAGAAGUUACCUUCUUCCGAGUGUCUAACCCCUAAAACUAAUGCAUGCAUACCUUCUUUAAAUCUUGUUUAGAAGUUACCAUCUCCCGAGUGUCUAACCCCUAAAAGAAUAUAAAGAUGAAUAAUGCAAGAUAAAAACAGAAAAGAUAAUAGAAUAGAAAAACCUGGAAAAUAAUCCUGUUGCAUUGAUAAAUAUGAAGUACAUCAUACAUUUCUUUGACUUUUUAGGCCUACCAGGCCCUAACUAGGAGUUUAGUCACUCAUGGCCAUUGAGGGCUUUACAAUGAGAAGGGGGUGAAAAAAAGAUGAUAAAAAAAAGGAAGAGAGUAAAAAUUCUCAGGCUUUGAGUAGUAGUGAGAGUGCUCUCUGAGACUUGGUGUUUUCCUCCUUGGCCUGACUCUCUAUCUAUAGCUGAUGAAGUGGACUUGGGCUUGAUUCAAACAAUCUUCCUUAUCUAUCUUUUUUAUAUCUUUUGGAUCUUGUAAAUCUUAUCUUUCCUAUAUCUGCAAGUCAUAGAUAAGAAAAUAUCAAUUCAUAUCUUUUAAGUCAAAAUUAACUGCUAAAUAAAUAUCUUUAAAGAUAUUUUCAAAUUAGCUCAUAUUUAACAGUUAUCAAUAUCUUUUAGAUCUUGUAAUCUUAUCUUUUUAUAUCUGCAAGCCAUAAAUAAUAAAAGUAUCAAUUCUUAUCAUUUAAGCAAAAAAAUAACUGUUAAAUAAAUAUUUUCAAAGAUAUUUUCAAUAUAUUUUUAUUAUGAAAUAACUCAUAUUUAACAGUUAUCAAAGACACAGAUAUAUUUUUUUGCUUGCAUUCGAAAUCAAAGAAAGCAAGUACAUCUAAGCGCUUAAUGAAGAUGGUUGGAGGUAGACAGAGGUGAAUUCACAUAUAAGCUUGUUUCCCCAGUAUGAAUUUUUAUACUUGAAUAUAAUACUCCUAUUCAUGUGGGCAUAGAUGCAAAAGUUUGAGAUGAGGAAGGUCACAAGCUUGGAUAGGUUUGGAAGAUAAAUGGUUUGUGAGAAUAUAUAAAUGCUAAAUUAAAACAUAUUAUUGGAAGACAGUUGAAGGAUUGACGUCGGAGUAGUUAGUGCAGUGGAAAUAAAUGCCAUUAUUGGAGGACGGUUGAAAGAUUAGCGUAGGUGGGGCUAGUUAUUUCGGUGGGAAUAAAUGCUAAAUUAAAACAUAUUAUUGGUGGAAAUUUGGGAUGGAAAUGAGUCACGCCGCUUGUCAAGGGCCUUUUGCUCGACCUAUUUAAGACUUGGUUUGACUUGACUUGUUUAUUAUAAAGGUCAAACUUAAGCUUUUUAAAAAGCUAUUUUAGAUAAAAAUGACAAAGGCAAAUUAUAAAAAAUAAACUUGUUAAGCUUGACAAACCGGCUUGUUAAGCUUGACAAACUGGCUUAUUUAAGUAAUAAUAAUAAUAAUAACUAUUAUCUAUACCAUUUUUAUGGAAUUAUGAAUGACAGGCUGAAGCGACAUAAGGUGCUUAGAGAAUUCACUUGCAUGUGAAAAAUUUUCAAAAGAAAAGAUUCAAGUUAAAGGAUCAAGAAAUCAGAUGAAUACUUCAAAUGAAAAGAAUGUUUUGUAAAAUAUUGUCAGACAAUGUAAAUAGUUUUAUUUGACUAUAGUAAUAUAAAUCAUCGUUAAUCCAAUAUAUUGUUUAAUAUUAUGCUCUCUUUUUUUUCAUUUUCUUGUGAUAUACUUUGUGUUUUAACAACUUGAAUUUAAUAUGAUUUUGUUUAUCAAUUAUUUUUGGAUUUGUACAUUACUUAUAUGAAAUUUUAUAAGUUUUUUUUAGUUAAUAUUUCACUAGGUUUUAGAACAAUUAAUUGGUCAAAGACGUCUUUAAGCAGAUUUUUAAAUAGGCUCGUAGGUAAAAUCAGACUUCAAUGUGAGUCGAGCCGAGCCUUAAAAAAAAUUCUAUGAUAGGUAAUGAGACAAGCUCAAGUCUUGCUUAUUCAACUCAAGCCGAGCUCAAGCCUAAUAAAGCUUGAUUUGCCUUGACUCAUUUUCACUCCUAGUGAGAAUAGGGGUCAACUUCUAAUUUUACUAUAGGCACUUUAAUUAAUAGGGGUGGGUAAGCGGGUUGGCCCGCCCCGCGUAAGGCUAGUCCGCAUAAGCCCGCAUUGGCAGUGGAUCGGGUCAGCCCGCCCCGCAUUCUUACACUGACCAAAUAUAUUGGUCCGCCCCCGCCCCGCGAACCCCGCGAGUCAAACGGGCCAGUCCGUGGGCCUUGUUUUAAAAGAAUUUCAAUUUCAAUAAAAAUGCAACACAAUCAAAUUAAGUUCAAUACAAAUGUAAAUAAAAUCUUAACAAUUAGUCAAUUACAUCAAUAAAAUAAAUAAUGUCUUACAAAAGAAAAUCCAAGCAAUAAAUUUAAAAUAUGAAACUUAAACAUCUCUAACAACAAAUGAUUCUACAUUUAAAGUAAUAUAAUCCUAAUGCGGGCAAUUCGCAGACCCCGUGGGCCAAACUCGCAUAUUCUGCGGGUUAAGUGGGGCGGAUCCAAAAAUAUGACAUCAUCAUGGACCGUUUAAAAAAAUUGAUCCAUUAUCCGCGCGAACCACGGAACCCGGGGGCCAGUCGAUGGACCUGGGCCUGUUUACCCACCCUUAUUAAUUAGCAAGCUAUUAUAUUAUAUUGGUGGAUUAGGACAUCUAUAGUCCAAGGAAUAUAAAAUUUACCUGACUCUUUGUAACUAUGCAUGUGAUCUAUCUAAUGAAUUCCACCUCCUUUUUAUACAUCAUACACAUGCAAUGUUAAUCACUAUGAUAUAAAACAUUUAAAUUAUAUAUUAUUAUUACUAUGAUUUUUUUAAGAUAGAUAUAUUCAAAAUUAAAAAAAUUAUUAUAUUGGAUGGAUAAUGAUUUAAUAAUAUAGUAAAAUUAUUUUAUACUUGUUGGUGUAUAAUCAUUUUUUCUACAAAUAAAUAAAAAUAAUUAUAAUAUAAAACAUUAAUAUACCAUAAAAAUUAAAUAUUAAAAAAGAAAUGUAAAUAAUCAAUUAAAAUAUAUAAAAUUUAUAACAAUUUAUUCAUAUUUGAGAAAUUUUAAAAAUAUGUAUAUAAAUUAUUUUUCAAAUAAAUAUAUUAUUAAUAUACAUAAUUCAAACUAUGAAAAAUAUAUUAUUGAAAUAUUUAAAACACCAAAUACAUUUUAAAAAUUUGAUUUAAAUAAUAUUAAAAUUAAAACAUAACAAUCUCAAAAAAUAUUUUUAUAAAUCAGUCUUUUGUUGGAGAUAAGAAAAUACACUUUAGUUUUUAAUUCUAAAUAUUUAAUAUUGUAUUUGUUUUUUUCCAUACUGUAAUAUAUAAAAAAAUGUAUAAUCUAUUUAAGUUUUAGUAUUUUAUAGUGAAUUUCAAUUUGUUAGUUCUUUACAUAUUAAUUUUCUUUUUCAAAUUUUGUAGUAUCAUAUAUUACCUUUUUAAUAUUUGAAAGACUUGUAAUAUCAAAUAAAAUAAUAUUGCAAUUAAUGUAUAUAUUAACAUAUAAAAAUGAAUAGCAUAGAUAAAAAAAAAAUCAAGUAUGAUCGACAAUGAAAGUUUAAUCAUUGAAAAAGUUGCAUGAUGUCUUCUCGGGUACACCACUCUACUUCUAUAAGUGGUGCAUUGAUUUACUAGAUAAGUUUUUUUUAAGGAAUCCAUUAAAUGUAUUUUUCUCCAAUCCUGAUAUUAUUACAAAGUUGUUUUCACGUGGUGAUUAAUUUUCAAGAUGAUGAGCACAUACAAGAUAAUUUUCAGGAUCAAGAGCACAUACAAAAUAGCUUAUAAGAUUUUAAGUUACACUACAUACAAUUUGGUCAAAUUUUCUUAUAUUGUAAAAAGUUAUAGAUAAAAGUGAUGAUAAUUGUUGUCACCACUACUGAAGAAAGAAGAUUCUAAAUUGGUUAUUUGGAGCAUUCUACAUUGGUUGAGGAUCGUCGUAGUAGACCACAUCGUCAAAAGGGAAACCUAAUCUAGGACGGUCGCAAAGACUAUCUUAAAAAAUGUGUGUUUCUAAUUGCAGUCCCAAACUUUCCAAAAUUUAAUAUAGUGGUCAAAAUCAUGAUCAUUAACUAUUUUUUAAAACGUAGCUACAGAGAAUAAAGUUGUUGCUUAAACAUCUUCACGCCUAUAAAUAGACCCAAAUAAUGUGAGGUUCCAUACUUCAAAAUCCAAAUCUAGCGAUUAAUUAUAGUUUAGGCAGCAAAUUAUGGAUUCCCAUGAUGAGGAGCAUGCUGCCAAACUACUUAGAGCUCAAACCCACAUAUGGAAUCACAUAUUUAGCUUCAUAAACUCCAUGUCCCUUAAAUGUGUGGUUGACUUAGGCAUACCAGAUAUCAUACACAACUAUGGCCAACCCAUGCCACUCUCAAACCUCAUUGCUUCACUACCAAUCCACCCAUCCAAAACUUGCUUUGUCCAUCGCUUGAUGCGAAUCAUGAUCCAUUCUGGCUUCUUCUCUCAACAAAAUCAUGACAUGGAGAAUCAGCUAGAUGCCAAGUAUGUGCUUACCGAUGCAUCUGUACUAUUGCUUAAGAACCAUCCGAUGAGUGUGACACCUUUCUUGCAUGCCAUGCUUGAUCCAAUUUUGACAAAUCCAUGGAAUCAAUUUUCUACUUGGUUCAAAAAUGGUGACACUACACCAUUUGAAACGGCACAUGGGAUGAUGCUUUGGGAUUACGCUGGCGCUGAUCCAAAACAUAAUAACUUGUUCAAUGAUGCCAUGGCAAGUGAUGCUCGAUUUGUCACUAGUUUGGUGAUUGAGAAAUGUAAGGGAAUGUUCAUGGGAUUGGAGUCAUUGGUUGAUGUUGGGGGAGGCACAGGGACCAUGGCAAAAGCCAUUGCUAAAUCAUUCCCUCGGGUGGAAUGCAUUGUGUUUGAUCUACCACAUGUUGUUUCUGGCUUGAAAGGAAGUGAAAACCUUAAAUAUGUUGCAGGGGACAUGUUUGAGGCAAUUCCUCCAGCUGAUGCCAUUCUGUUAAAGGUAAAUCACUAUUCACAUUCAGAAUACAAUUUUACAUUCAUACCAUUAACACCCAGUUUUUAUACUUGAGUGAUGUCAAAUUUUAAAGAAUUAAAGCAAAUAAUUGAUCGAUUGGAAAAAAAAAAUGAACGAUUUUAUCAUCAUUGAUCACUUGAAAUAACUUCAAAUUUUUAUAUGUAUAUUGAUCACUAAGCUAGUAAGCUAGCACCAGCUAGUAGUCCAACUACAUAUCUGCCACUAUCAUACCAAAUCAGACCAACUGAGUGGUCUAUAUGGCUUGUAAUAAUUAGGACUAGUUUAUUAAGUGGUUACGUAAAGUAGCUAGCAUAUGAUUAUUUGACAAGUAAAUCUCUGCUCAUAUUCUAGAAAAAAUAGUUAUAGAUCUCUUCAAAUUUGACUUUUCUUUUUUCUGAAGUAUUGACUAUAUGUUGCGGUUAAAAACGUUACAUGAUGUGCCAAUUCAUUCUACCAAGCUUAAUAUGAAUGCAAGUCAAUAUUUAUUUCUUUUGUAUGAUUCUUAUCGGUGUGUUACUUUGAAUGACA
rnacentral:lncRNA from 1 species